GUCAGUGUUGUAGUGUUGGUUGAAAUGUAAAGGUCAGUGUUGUAGUGUUGGUUGAAAUGUAAAGGUCAGUGUUGUAGUGUUGGUUGAAAUGUAAAGGUCAGUGUUGUAGUGUUGGUUGAAAUGUAAAGGUCAGUGUUGUAGUGUUGGUUGAAAUGUAAAGGUCAGUGUUGUAGUGUUGGUUGAAAUGUAAAGGUCAGUGUUGUAGUGUUGGUUGAAAUGUAAAGGUCAGUGUUGUAGUGUUGGUUGAAAUGUAAAGGUCAGUGUUGUAGUGUUUGUUGAAAUGUAAAGGUCAGUGUUGUAGUGUUGGUUGAAAUGUAAAGGUCAGUGUUGUAGUGUUAGUUGAAAUGUAAAGGUCAGUGUUGUAGUGUUGGUUGAAAUGUAAAGGUCAGUGUUGUAGUGUUGGUUGAAAUGUAAAGGUCCGUGUUGUAGUGUUGGUUGAAAUGUAAAGGUCCGUGUUGUAGUGUUGGUUGAAAUGUAAAGGUCAGUGUUGUAGUGUUGGUUGAAAUGUAAAGGUCAGUGUUGUAGUGUUGGUUGAAAUGUAAAGGUCAGUGUUGUAGUGUUGGUUGAAAUGUAAAGGUCAGUGUUGUAGUGUUGGUUGAAAUGUAAAGGUCAGUGUUGUAGUGUUAGUUGAAAUGUAAAGGUCAGUGUUGUAGUGUUGGUUGAAAUGUAAAGGUCAGUGUUGUAGUGUUGGUUGAAAUGUAAAGGUCAGUGUUGUAGUGUUGGUUGAAAUGUAAAGGUCAGUGUUGUAGUGUUGGUUGAAAUGUAAAGGUCAGUGUUGUAGUGUUGGUUGAAAUGUAAAGGUCAGUGUUGUAGUGUUGGUUGAAAUGUAAAGGUCAGUGUUGUAGUGUUGGUUGAAAUGUAAAGGUCAGUGUUGUAGUGUUGGUUGAAAUGUAAAGGUCAGUGUUGUAGUGUUGGUUGAAAUGUAAAGGUCCGUGUUGUAGUGUUGGUUGAAAUGUAAAGGUCCGUGUUGUAGUGUUGGUUGAAAUGUAAAGGUCCGUGUUGUAGUGUUGGUUGAAAUGUAAAGGUCAGUGUUGUAGUGUUGGUUGAAAUGUAAAGGUCAGUGUUGUAGUGUUGGUUGAAAUGUAAAGGUCAGUGUUGUAGUGUUAGUUGAAAUGUAAAGGUCAGUGUUGUAGUGUUGGUUGAAAUGUAAAGGUCAGUGUUGUAGUGUUAGUUGAAAUGUAAAGGUCAGUGUUGUAGUGUUAGUUGAAAUGUAAAGGUAAUUUUCGAUUGAGCAGACAUAUGCAGCGUUUACCAUAGAGGGCGUAAAAAAUAAACUCCUGAAACUAGAUCCCCUACAUCCUGGUCUUGACGAGAGAAAAAAACACAAAACAUCAAUGUUCAACCAAUCCAGUAAAUGUGAAGGAGGAAUCUUCUUGUUAAUGUCCAAAUGUAGAAGUCCUAUCACUGGCUCUCAUUCCAUUUCCCCUGACAACCGGAACAUUUAGUUGUACAAUGGAUGCAGUCUCUGCGAACGCAGAAACAUCGCUUUUACAUUUCAAUCACGCUAGAACAGUGAUAUUCACCGCUACUGUUUGAAUCCGAUCACAUUGUGGACAAAAUGUUGCCCUGACUCCUUGCACCGGUCAAACGCUAUGCCGUGCACAUGGACGGCACAGGCUGACCAGACCGCUCGUGAGUUUCUUCUUCUU